UGAGUCUCCUGAAGGAACGUUGAAGACGACGACGUUGAUAGGCCGGGUGUGUAAGCGCAGCGAUGCGUUGAGCUAACCGGUACUAAUGAACCGUGAGGCUUAACCUUACAACGCCGAAG
rnacentral:rRNA from 3 species